AUCGGGUGUCCACACUAAGUUGGGCGUCAAUAUGGUGAACUGAGGGGAACCUUCGUCCACUAGGUUGAAUAAAGAGAUGUACCGGUCCAGGAUGGAAACAUAGCAGACAAAAGUUCCCGCGCGUCAAACAGUAGUGAGAUAGCACUUGU
rnacentral:sRNA from 1 species